GGUUAAGCGACUAAGCGUACACGGUGGAUGCCCUGGCAGUCAGAGGCGAUGAAGGACGUGCUAAUCUGCGAUAAGCGUCGGUAAGGUGAUAUGAACCGUUAUAACCGGCGAUUUCCGAAUGGGGAAACCCAGUGUGUUUCGACACACUAUCAUUAACUGAAUCCAUAGGUUAAUGAGGCGAACCGGGGGAACUGAAACAUCUAAGUACCCCGAGGAAAAGAAAUCAACCGAGAUUCCCCCAGUAGCGGCGAGCGAACGGGGAGCAGCCCAGAGCCUGAAUCAGUGUGUGUGUUAGUGGAAGCGUCUGGAAAGGCGCGCGAUACAGGGUGACAGCCCCGUACACAAAAAUGCACAUGCUGUGAGCUCGAUGAGUAGGGCGGGACACGUGGUAUCCUGUCUGAAUAUGGGGGGACCAUCCUCCAAGGCUAAAUACUCCUGACUGACCGAUAGUGAACCAGUACCGUGAGGGAAAGGCGAAAAGAACCCCGGCGAGGGGAGUGAAAAAGAACCUGAAACCGUGUACGUACAAGCAGUGGGAGCACGCUUAGGCGUGUGACUGCGUACCUUUUGUAUAAUGGGUCAGCGACUUAUAUUCUGUAGCAAGGUUAACCGAAUAGGGGAGCCGAAGGGAAACCGAGUCUUAACUGGGCGUUAAGUUGCAGGGUAUAGACCCGAAACCCGGUGAUCUAGCCAUGGGCAGGUUGAAGGUUGGGUAACACUAACUGGAGGACCGAACCGACUAAUGUUGAAAAAUUAGCGGAUGACUUGUGGCUGGGGGUGAAAGGCCAAUCAAACCGGGAGAUAGCUGGUUCUCCCCGAAAGCUAUUUAGGUAGCGCCUCGUGAAUUCAUCUCCGGGGGUAGAGCACUGUUUCGGCAAGGGGGUCAUCCCGACUUACCAACCCGAUGCAAACUGCGAAUACCGGAGAAUGUUAUCACGGGAGACACACGGCGGGUGCUAACGUCCGUCGUGAAGAGGGAAACAACCCAGACCGCCAGCUAAGGUCCCAAAGUCAUGGUUAAGUGGGAAACGAUGUGGGAAGGCCCAGACAGCCAGGAUGUUGGCUUAGAAGCAGCCAUCAUUUAAAGAAAGCGUAAUAGCUCACUGGUCGAGUCGGCCUGCGCGGAAGAUGUAACGGGGCUAAACCAUGCACCGAAGCUGCGGCAGCGACACUAUGUGUUGUUGGGUAGGGGAGCGUUCUGUAAGCCUGUGAAGGUGUGCUGUGAGGCAUGCUGGAGGUAUCAGAAGUGCGAAUGCUGACAUAAGUAACGAUAAAGCGGGUGAAAAGCCCGCUCGCCGGAAGACCAAGGGUUCCUGUCCAACGUUAAUCGGGGCAGGGUGAGUCGACCCCUAAGGCGAGGCCGAAAGGCGUAGUCGAUGGGAAACAGGUUAAUAUUCCUGUACUUGGUGUUACUGCGAAGGGGGGACGGAGAAGGCUAUGUUGGCCGGGCGACGGUUGUCCCGGUUUAAGCGUGUAGGCUGGUUUUCCAGGCAAAUCCGGAAAAUCAAGGCUGAGGCGUGAUGACGAGGCACUACGGUGCUGAAGCAACAAAUGCCCUGCUUCCAGGAAAAGCCUCUAAGCAUCAGGUAACAUCAAAUCGUACCCCAAACCGACACAGGUGGUCAGGUAGAGAAUACCAAGGCGCUUGAGAGAACUCGGGUGAAGGAACUAGGCAAAAUGGUGCCGUAACUUCGGGAGAAGGCACGCUGAUAUGUAGGUGAAGUCCCUUGCGGAUGGAGCUGAAAUCAGUCGAAGAUACCAGCUGGCUGCAACUGUUUAUUAAAAACACAGCACUGUGCAAACACGAAAGUGGACGUAUACGGUGUGACGCCUGCCCGGUGCCGGAAGGUUAAUUGAUGGGGUCAGCGCAAGCGAAGCUCUUGAUCGAAGCCCCGGUAAACGGCGGCCGUAACUAUAACGGUCCUAAGGUAGCGAAAUUCCUUGUCGGGUAAGUUCCGACCUGCACGAAUGGCGUAAUGAUGGCCAGGCUGUCUCCACCCGAGACUCAGUGAAAUUGAACUCGCUGUGAAGAUGCAGUGUACCCGCGGCAAGACGGAAAGACCCCGUGAACCUUUACUAUAGCUUGACACUGAACAUUGAGCCUUGAUGUGUAGGAUAGGUGGGAGGCUUGGAAGUGUGGACGCCAGUCUGCAUGGAGCCGACCUUGAAAUACCACCCUUUAAUGUUUGAUGUUCUAACGUUGACCCGUAAUCCGGGUUGCGGACAGUGUCUGGUGGGUAGUUUGACUGGGGCGGUCUCCUCCUAAAGAGUAACGGAGGAGCACGAAGGUUGGCUAAUCCUGGUCGGACAUCAGGAGGUUAGUGCAAUGGCAUAAGCCAGCUUGACUGCGAGCGUGACGGCGCGAGCAGGUGCGAAAGCAGGUCAUAGUGAUCCGGUGGUUCUGAAUGGAAGGGCCAUCGCUCAACGGAUAAAAGGUACUCCGGGGAUAACAGGCUGAUACCGCCCAAGAGUUCAUAUCGACGGCGGUGUUUGGCACCUCGAUGUCGGCUCAUCACAUCCUGGGGCUGAAGUAGGUCCCAAGGGUAUGGCUGUUCGCCAUUUAAAGUGGUACGCGAGCUGGGUUUAGAACGUCGUGAGACAGUUCGGUCCCUAUCUGCCGUGGGCGCUGGAGAACUGAGGGGGGCUGCUCCUAGUACGAGAGGACCGGAGUGGACGCAUCACUGGUGUUCGGGUUGUCAUGCCAAUGGCACUGCCCGGUAGCUAAAUGCGGAAGAGAUAAGUGCUGAAAGCAUCUAAGCACGAAACUUGCCCCGAGAUGAGUUCUCCCUGACCCUUUAAGGGUCCUGAAGGAACGUUGAAGACGACGACGUUGAUAGGCCGGGUGUGUAAGCGCAGCGAUGCGUUGAGCUAACCGGUACUAAUGAACCGUGAGGCUUAACCUU
rnacentral:rRNA from 1 species